GGUCUAUUAGUCUAGUUGGUUAGGACGUCGGAUUCUGAUCUCACCAUCAGUUCCUUCCGUAGGCCCAGGUUCGAAUCCUGGAUGGACCU
rnacentral:tRNA from 1 species